GAUGAACGCUGGCGGCGUGCCUAAUACAUGCAAGUCGAACGCGAGCAGCAAUGCUCGAGUGGCGAACGGGUGAGUAAUACAUAAGUAACCUGCCCUAGACAGGGGGAUAACUGCUGGAAACGGCAGCUAAGACCGCAUAGGUAUGGACACUGCAUGGUGACCAUAUUAAAAGUGCCAAGGCACUGGUAGAGGAUGGACUUAUGGCGCAUUAGCUGGUUGGUGAGGUAACGGCUCACCAAGGCGACGAUGCGUAGCCGACCUGAGAGGGUGACCGGCCACACUGGGACUGAGACACGGCCCAGACUCCUACGGGAGGCAGCAGUAGGGAAUUUUCGGCAAUGGGGGGAACCCUGACCGAGCAACGCCGCGUGAAGGAAGAAGGAAUUCGUUCUGUAAACUUCUGUUAUAAAGGAAGAACGGCGGAUAUAGGGAAUGAUAUCCGAGUGACGGUACUUUAUGAGAAAGCCACGGCUAACUACGUGCCAGCAGCCGCGGUAAUACGUAGGUGGCGAGCGUUAUCCGGAAUUAUUGGGCGUAAAGAGGGAGCAGGCGGCGGCAGAGGUCUGUGGUGAAAGACUGAAGCUUAACUUCAGUAAGCCAUAGAAACCGGGCUGCUAGAGUGCAGGAGAGGAUCGUGGAAUUCCAUGUGUAGCGGUGAAAUGCGUAGAUAUAUGGAGGAACACCAGUGGCGAAGGCGACGGUCUGGCCUGUAACUGACGCUCAUUCCCGAAAGCGUGGGGAGCAAAUAGGAUUAGAUACCCUAGUAGUCCACGCCGUAAACGAUAAAUGGUAAGUGUUGGGAGUCAAAUUUCAUUGCUGCAGUUAACGCAAUAAGUACUCCGCCCGAGUAAGUACGUUUGCAAGAAUGAAAAUCAAAGGAAAUGACGGGGGCCCGCACAAGCGGUGGAGCAUGUGGGUUUAAUUUGAAGCAACGCGAAGAACCUUACCAGGUCUUGACAUCCGGAUAAAGACCUCAGAGAAGAGGGGAUAGAUAUAUCCGAGACAGGUGGUGCAUGGUUGUCGUCAGCUCGUGUCGUGAGAUGUUGGGUUAAGUCCCGCAACGAGCGCAACCCUUGUCGCUAGUUACCAUCAUUAAGUUGGGGACUCUAGCGAGACUGCCAGUGACAAGCUGGAGGAAGGCGGGGAUGACGUCAAAUCAUCAUGCCCCCUAUGACCUGGGCUACACACGUGCUACAAUGGAUGGAGCAGAGGGAAGCGAAGCCGCGAGGUGAAGCAAAACCCAUAAAACCAUUCUCAGUUCGGAUUGUAGUCUGCAACUCGACUACAUGAAGUUGGAAUCGCUAGUAAUCGCGAAUCAGCAUGUCGCGGUGAA
rnacentral:rRNA from 1 species